GAUGAACGCUGGCGGCGUGCCUAAUAUAUGCAAGUCGAGCGAACAGAUGAGGAGCUUGCUCCUCUGACGUUAGCGGCGGACGGGUGAGUAACACGUGGAUAACCUACCUAUAAGACUGGGAUAACUUCGGGAAACCGGAGCUAAUACCGGAUAAUAUAUUGAACCGCAUGGUUCAAUAGUGAAAGACGGUUUUGCUGUCACUUAUAGAUGGAUCCGCGCCGCAUUAGCUAGAUGGUAAGGUAACGGCUUACCAAGGCAACGAUGCGUAGCCGACCUGAGAGGGUGAUCGGCCACACUGGAACUGAGACACGGUCCAGACUCCUACGGGAGGCAGCAGUAGGGAAUCUUCCGCAAUGGGCGAAAGCCUGACGGAGCAACGCCGCGUGAGUGAUGAAGGUCUUCGGAUCGUAAAACUCUGUUAUUAGGGAAGAACAAAUGUGUAAGUAACUAUGCACGUCUCGACGGUACCUAAUCAGAAAGCCACGGCUAACUACGUG
rnacentral:rRNA from 1 species